AGAGUUUGAUCCUGGCUCAGGAUGAACGCUGGCGGCGUGCCUAAUACAUGCAAGUCGAACGCUUUGUGGUUCAACUGAUUUGAAGAGCUUGCUCAGAUAUGACGAUGGACAUUGCAAAGAGUGGCGAACGGGUGAGUAACACGUGGGAAACCUACCUCUUAGCAGGGGAUAACAUUUGGAAACAGAUGCUAAUACCGUAUAACAAUGACAACCGCAUGGUUGUUAUUUAAAAGAUGGUUCUGCUAUCACUAAGAGAUGGUCCCGCGGUGCAUUAGCUAGUUGGUAAGGUAAUGGCUUACCAAGGCGAUGAUGCAUAGCCGAGUUGAGAGACUGAUCGGCCACAAUGGGACUGAGACACGGCCCAUACUCCUACGGGAGGCAGCAGUAGGGAAUCUUCCACAAUGGGCGAAAGCCUGAUGGAGCAACGCCGCGUGUGUGAUGAAGGGUUUCGGCUCGUAAAACACUGUUGUAAGAGAAGAAUGACAUUGAGAGUAACUGUUCAAUGUGUGACGGUAUCUUACCAGAAAGGAACGGCUAAAUACGUGCCAGCAGCCGCGGUAAUACGUAUGUUCCAAGCGUUAUCCGGAUUUAUUGGGCGUAAAGCGAGCGCAGACGGUUAUUUAAGUCUGAAGUGAAAGCCCUCAGCUCAACUGAGGAAUUGCUUUGGAAACUGGAUGACUUGAGUGCAGUAGAGGAAAGUGGAACUCCAUGUGUAGCGGUGAAAUGCGUAGAUAUAUGGAAGAACACCAGUGGCGAAGGCGGCUUUCUGGACUGUAACUGACGUUGAGGCUCGAAAGUGUGGGUAGCAAACAGGAUUAGAUACCCUGGUAGUCCACACCGUAAACGAUGAGUGCUAGG
rnacentral:rRNA from 1 species